rnacentral:rRNA from 1 species
UACGUAGGGUGCGAGCGUUAAUCGGAAUUACUGGGCGUAAAGCGUGCGCAGGCGGUUCGUUGUGUCGGCGGUGAAAGCCCCGGGCUUAACCUGGGAAUGGCCGUUGAAACUGGCGAACUGGAGUGUGGCAGAGGGGGGUGGAAUUCCGCGUGUAGCAGUGAAAUGCGUAGAGAUGCGGAGGAACACCGAUGGCGAAGGCAGCCCCCUGGGCUAACACUGACGCUCAGGCACGGAAGCGUGGGGAGCAAACAGG